AUGAACGCUGGCGGCGUGCCUAAUACAUGCAAGUCGAGCGAACGGACGAGAAGCUUGCUUCUCUGAUGUUAGCGGCGGACGGGUGAGUAACACGUGGAUAACUUACCUAUAAGACUGGGAUAACUUCGGGAAACCGUAGCUAAUACCGGAUAAUAUUUUGAACCGCAUGGUUCAAAAGUGAAAGACGGUCUUGCUGUCACUUAUAGAUGGAUCCGCGCUGCAUUAGCUAGUUGGUAAGGUAACGGCUUACCAAGGCAACGAUGCAUAGCCGACCUGAGAGGGUGAUCGGCCACACUGGAACUGAGACACGGUCCAGACUCCUACGGGAGGCAGCAGUAGGGAAUCUUCCGCAAUGGGCGAAAGCCUGACGGAGCAACGCCGCGUGAGUGAUGAAGGUCUUCGGAUCGUAAAACUCUGUUAUUAGGGAAGAACAUAUGUGUAAGUAACUGUGCACAUCUUGACGGUACCUAAUCAGAAAGCCACGGCUAACUACGUG
rnacentral:rRNA from 1 species